ACGGGUGAGUAACGCGUGGGAACGUGCCUUCCGGUUCGGAAUAACCCUGGGAAACUAGGGCUAAUACCGGAUACGCCCUUAUGGGGAAAGGUUUACUGCCGGAAGAUCGGCCCGCGUCUGAUUAGCUAGUUGGUGGGGUAACGGCCUACCAAGGCGACGAUCAGUAGCUGGUCUGAGAGGAUGAUCAGCCACACUGGGACUGAGACACGGCCCAGACUCCUACGGGAGGCAGCAGUGGGGAAUAUUGGACAAUGGGCGCAAGCCUGAUCCAGCCAUGCCGCGUGAGUGAUGAAGGCCUUAGGGUUGUAAAGCUCUUUUAUCCGGGACGAUAAUGACGGUACCGGAGGAAUAAGCCCCGGCUAACUUCGUGCCAGCAGCCGCGGUAAUACGAAGGGGGCUAGCGUUGCUCGGAAUCACUGGGCGUAAAGGGCGCGUAGGCGGCGUUUUAAGUCGAGGGUGAAAGCCUGUGGCUCAACCACAGAAUGGCCUUCGAUACUGGGACGCUUGAGUAUGGUAGAGGUUGGUGGAACUGCGAGUGUAGAGGUGAAAUUCGUAGA
rnacentral:rRNA from 1 species